CCUGAGAAACCCAAAAGAUCGAAUGGGGAGACUCAUCGUUCAGCUGCGCUGGCUUCCGUGCGGUACGCGAUGGCGGGGACCUCGGUCUCGCGUCACGCUACAGCUGCGGCAUGUCCGGCGCAGUCGGCGUGCACUUCUCCCCUAGUAGGACGUCGCGACCCGUUGGGUGUCGGAUCAAUGGCCGUUCGGUCGCCUGUCGCGCUAGCGCGCGGCAGACCGAUACGGUCGAACGUCCGACUGCCCGGCGGUAUCGAACGUUGAAAACUGGUACUGGGCCGCAUUCAGUGCGUUCCUGGCUCGUCGGCAGGCUCGUCUCGCUCGGAUUUACGGACCUAGCGCCGUUGCCGGGCGCUUGGCGCGGCCGUUAGUCGACGAUGUCCUCGGACUGGCUCUUACCGGUCGGCGACGCUACUGCUUUGGGUACUUUC
rnacentral:rRNA from 1 species